CAUAGCGGAGGAAAAGAAACCAACAGGGAUUGCCUUAGUAACGGCGAGUGAAGCGGCAAAAGCUCAAAUUUGAAAUCUGGCACCUUCGGUGUCCGAGUUGUAAUUUGAAGAAGGUAACUUUGGAGUCAGCUCUUGUCUAUGUUCCUUGGAACAGGACGUCACAGAGGGUGAGAAUCCCGUGCGAUGAGAUGUCUGAUUCUAUGUAAAGUGCUUUCGAAGAGUCGAGUUGUUUGGGAAUGCAGCUCUAAGUGGGUGGUAAAUUCCAUCUAAAGCUAAAUAUUGGCGAGAGACCGAUAGCGAACAAGUACAGUGAUGGAAAGAUGAAAAGAACUUUGAAAAGAGAGUGAAAAAGUACGUGAAAUUGUUGAAAGGGAAGGGUUUGAGAUCAGACUUGGUAUUUUGUAUGUCUUGCUUUCGGGUGGGGCCUCUACAGUUUACUGGGCCAGCAUCGGUUUGGACGGUAGGAUAAUGACAUUGGAAUGUGGCACCACUUCGGUGGUGUGUUAUAGACUUUGUUGAUACUGCCUGUCUAGACCGAGGACUGCGUCUUACUAGGAUGCG
rnacentral:rRNA from 1 species